UUCUUUUCUCCUCUUCUCAUUUUCUAUAGCAUCGAAGGAUUACCAAAAUACCGAGUAAAAUACCAUUGAAAGAUCGCCGUUACGUAAACUAUCAUUGAAGAAACCGUUCAUUCCGGAAAAUACCAUUCCGUUACCUUGCAGUGAACCGGACAUUUUCCUCUCUAUUGCGCAAUGUGAAUGACAUUUCUAUCCUUAUCGUCUUCAUGCCCUUCUCCCUCCCUCCCCC
rnacentral:lncRNA from 1 species